UUUUUUUUAAAGUUUGCAAAUAGUAUAAAAUGGUAAUGAAUUCAAAAAAUGUCCAUGAUUUUAGAAAAUGUUCAAACAUCUCGAAAAAUGUUUAUGAAUUUGAAAAAUGUUCAUGAUUUCAGAUAUGUUGACAAGUUUAAAAAUGCUCAUGAAUUUUAAAAAUUGUUCACGAUUUCUUGAAAAUGAAAAUGAUAAUGAUAUUGUAUCUCGGGCCGUCGGAGAUUACGACUUUUUUUUUCUCCCGUUGAACGCACGGGCCGUUUUGCGAGUUCAUCAUAAAUACUAUAACUGGAUAUAGAAAUCACAUAAAGAUAUUACUCCCUCCAUUCGGAAUUAGGAUGUCGCGAGGGAAGGAAAAUUAGUGAACAAUUCAAGGGCAAAACCCAAGCCAACAAAAAAAAAGUGUGAUGACAAAUGCUUUCCUCACCUGAACAAAAAGAAAACAAAUGAUGUACAUACUGCUGCAGAGCAAAGUCUUUCUUUUUAUUGUUUAUCAUCAUCAUCAGAGCAAAGUCUUUGUUUGUUUUCUCUGCUUCCCCAAAAGGAAUACAUGCAUACUCCAACGGCAGCAGAAUGAAAUUAAUCAAUUGGUGCCAACAGGUCAAUCUGUGCACUGACUAGAAGAAAACCACUACCACUCACUAAUUAAAUACACACCAACAGACCAAUCAUGCUUCAUCUCUAUCUCAAGAAGAGGACCAAGACACAAACAUGGAAAACAUCCCAUCCAUCAGAAAAACAAAAACCUGCAGAUUAACUUUUUACAGACCAACAAUCAAUGAAUGAUUUUUUGUACGGCGCGAAACGGAACCGACCGACUGGCGAAAACGAAACGGCGCAUCAUUGGUAGGAACCGGCCUUUGGCGAAAACGAACCGGCACACCAUUGGUGGGAGCCGGCCUCCGCCAGCCGUCGACGGGGCGGCAG
rnacentral:lncRNA from 1 species